rnacentral:rRNA from 1 species
CGCGUAGGCGGGCAAGUCAGUCUGGCGUGAAAUCUUCACCGCUCAACGGGAAGAUGUCGCUGGAUACUGCUUGUCUUGAGGCCACUAGAGGGAAACGGAACUCCUGGUGUAGCGGUGGAAUGCGUAGAUAUCAGGAAGAACACCGAUUGCGAAGGCGGUUUCCUGGGGUGAGCCUGACGCUGAGGCGCGAAAGCCAGGGGAGCGAACG